GCUUGUCUCAAAGAUUAAGCCAUGCAUGUCUAAGUAUAAACAAAUCUAUACUGUGAAACUGCGAAUGGCUCAUUAAAUCAGUUAUCAAAUACGUGAUGGUCGCCUACUACAUGGAUAACCGUAGUAAUUCUAGAGCUAAUACAUGCAUCAAGCCCCGACUUCUGGAAGGGGUGUAUUUAUUAGAUGGAAACCAAUGCGGGGCAACCCGGUAUAUGGUGAUUCAUAAUAACUUUCGGAUCGAUUUAUCGAUGCAUCAUUCAAGUUUCUGCCCUAUCAGCUUUGGAUGGUAGGGUAUUGGCCUACCAUGGCUUUAACGGGUAACGGAGAAUUAGGGUUCGAUUCCGGAGAGGGAGCCUGAGAAAUGGCUACCACAUCCAAGGAAGGCAGCAGG
rnacentral:rRNA from 1 species